UACGGAGGGGGCGAGCGUUGUUCGGAAUUAUUGGGCGUAAAGGGUGCGUAAGCGGUUCCGCAAGUCCUGUGUGAAAUCUUCGGGCUCAACUCGAAGUCUGCACGGGAAACUGCGGGGCUUGAGUGUGGGAGAGGUGAGUGGAAUUCCCGGUGUAGCGGUGAAAUGCGUAGAGAUCGGAAGGAACACCAGUGGCGAAGGCGGCUACCUGGACAAUUGCUGACGCUCAGGCACGAAAGCGUGGGGAGCAAAAGGG
rnacentral:rRNA from 1 species